rnacentral:rRNA from 1 species
UACAGAGGGUGCAAGCGUUGUUCGGAAUUAUUGGGCGUAAAGCGCGUGUAGGCGGCUUUGCAAGUCGGGUGUGAAAGCCCUCAGCUCAACUGAGGAAGUGCGCCCGAAACUGCAGAGCUUGAGUGCCGGAGAGGGUGGCGGAAUUCCCCAAGUAGAGGUGAAAUUCGUAGAUAUGGGGAGGAACACCGGUGGCGAAGGCGGCGCUCUGGACCGAGACUGACGCUGAGGAGCGAAAGCCAGGGGAGCAAACGGG